CAAAGUGCUGGGAUUACAGGCGUGAGCCAUCGCACCUGGCCUGAGUUUGCAUUUCUAGGUUCCCAGAUGAUGUGACAGCUACUGGUCUCCAGCCACACCUUGAGAACACUUGGCUUUGACUACCACUUCUUAAACUUAAAGGAAAACUAGACAAUCCACCAGCCCAGGAGGGGACAAGCAGGCUUAUUCCUCCUCCUCGUCAUCUCUGGCUCCAGCCCCACCCUGGCCCUUGCUGGCAUUCUUCCUCUUCACGUGGCUGGGGUUGGCCACCCCAAUAGGGAAGCAGAGGGAGAAGUCAAUGUGCUUCUGGGAAUCCAGGCGGACAGUGAAGAACAGGAUAUUUACCACCUGCUCACGGACACGGAUAUGACACUGUUGAAUCAGCACAUGAGCGUGGCGGAUGGACUUAGCCAAGCCAAGCUUGAAGACCUGGGUCUGUAGGAAUCUCUAAGAAAUCAUUGAUCUUCAGGCCCAGGAUGUAAUCCAGCUUCAUCUUGCCCUCAUCCAGCACCCCAGUGCGGACCAGCCACUGCAGCAGGGCAAUGCCUUCGAACAGACGCCGUGGGUCCUUCUCAUCAAGCGUCAGCAGCUCCCGGGCGGCCUUAUGGAUCUUGACCAGGGUAAAUUUGACCCUCCAGACCUCACAUUUGUUCUGGAGCCCAUACUCACCAAUCAGCUUUAGCUUUUGGUCGAGAUGAGGUUUCUCGAAGGGUCUCUGCAGGGUCACAUAAGUUUGGCAACAAACCCAGCUCUGGGCCGCUGGCAUGUUGGCUCCACUUGCCCG
rnacentral:lncRNA from 1 species